AGCUUUUUGAAUCCAUGCGGAGAUUUUGUCAGACAUCAAUCUAUUAGGGCGGAUCAGACUUCCAAGAUAAGUGAAGUU
rnacentral:pre_miRNA from 1 species